rnacentral:rRNA from 1 species
UACGGGGGGGGGCAAGCGUUGUUCGGAAUUACUGGGUGUAAAGGGCUCGUAGGCGGCCAACUAAGUCAGACGUGAAAUCCCUCGGCUUAACCGGGGAACUGCAUCUGAUACUGGAUGGCUUGAGUUCGGGAGAGGGAUGCGGAAUUCCAGGUGUAGCGGUGAAAUGCGUAGAUAUCUGGAGGAACACCGGUGGCGAAGGCGGCAUCCUGGACCGACACUGACGCUGAGGAGCGAAAGCCAGGGGAGCAAACGGG